rnacentral:misc_RNA from 1 species
AUCGACACUUUGAACGCACAUUGCAGGCCUGUGCUUGUAACAGGCCUACCCUUGUGUCAGGGUCGGUUAAACAUCAUCCAUCAGAGCUGACUUUCGGGUUGGCUCUGCUCUGUCCCCGCGGCUAGUCUCUGCACUGGUUAUUCCGGGGGAUGAAAGUGUGCUCGGUCUGCUUUGCUCACCUCACAACUCUUGGGAUUCAUCUCCCGGGUUGGUGGUAGCGCUGACUCGUUUGGCACCGGCYGCUUGAGACACAGAGACUGYCAAGCAUCGUGUCUCUAUCUCUGGCCAACUUUUUUUUUUUCGACCUGACAUCAAGGGAGGC